rnacentral:rRNA from 1 species
GAAUUCGCCCUUAGAGUUUGAUCCUGGCUCAGGACGAACGCUGGCGGCGUGCUUAACACAUGCAAGUCGAACGAGGAUCGGAAGGGAGCUUGCUCCCGUCUGAUUCGAGUGGCGGACGGGUGAGUAACGCGUGAACAAUCUGUCUCAUACAGGGGGAUAACGCAUCGAAAGAUGUGCUAAUACCGCGUAGGACCACGCUGGGGCAUCCCAGAGAGGUGAAAGGAGCAAUCCGGUAUGAGGUGAGUUCGCGUCUGAUUAGAUAGUUGGUGAGGUAAAGGCUCACCAAGUCAACGAUCAGUAGCCGACCUGAGAGGGUGACCGGCCACAUUGGGACUGAGACACGGCCCAGACUCCUACGGGAGGCAGCAGUGGGGAAUAUUGGGCAAUGGGCGAAAGCCUGACCCAGCAACGCCGCGUGAAGGAAGAAGGUUUUCGGAUCGUAAACUUCUGUCCUAUAUGAAGAUAAUGACGGUAGUAUAGGAGGAAGCCCCGGCUAACUACGUGCCAGCAGCCGCGGUAAUACGUAGGGGGCGAGCGUUGUCCGGAAUGAUUGGGCGUAAAGGGCGCGUAGGCGGCCGGAUAAGUCUGGAGUGAAAGUCCUGUUUUCAAGAUGGGAAUUGCUUUGGAUACUGUCAGGCUUGAGUGCAGGAGAGGUUAUCGGAAUUCCCGGUGUAGCGGUGAAAUGCGUAGAGAUCGGGAGGAACACCAGUGGCGAAGGCGGGUAACUGGACUGCAACUGACGCUGAGGCGCGAAAGUGUGGGGAGCAAACAGGAUAAGAUACCCUGGUAGUCCACACUGUA